rnacentral:rRNA from 1 species
UAACUUCGGGAAACCGAAGCUAAUACCGGAUAACAUUUUUGGUUGCAUGACCGAAAAUUGAAAGAUGGCUUUUAGCUAUCACUUACAGAUGGACCCGCGGCGCAUUAGCUAGUUGGUGAGGUAACGGCUCACCAAGGCAACGAUGCGUAGCCGACCUGAGAGGGUGAUCGGCCACACUGGGACUGAGACACGGCCCAGACUCCUACGGGAGGCAGCAGUGG